rnacentral:rRNA from 1 species
AUUGAACGCUGGCGGCAUGCCUUACACAUGCAAGUCGAACGGCAGCACGGGUGCUUGCACCUGGUGGCGAGUGGCGAACGGGUGAGUAAUACAUCGGAACGUUCCUUAUCGUGGGGGAUAACGCAGCGAAAGCUGUGCUAAUACCGCAUACGCCCUGAGGGGGAAAGCGGGGGAUCGCAAGACCUCGCGCGAUUAGAGCGGCCGAUGCCUGAUUAGCUAGUUGGUGGGGUAAAAGCCCACCAAGGCGACGAUCAGUAGCUGGUCUGAGAGGACGAGCAGACACACUGGGUCUGAGACUAGGCCCAGACUCCUACGGGAGGCAGCAGUGGGGAAUUUUUGACCAUGGGGGCAACCCUGAUCCAGCAAUGCCGCGUGAGUGAAGAAGGCCUUCGGGUUGUAAAGCUCUUUUGUCAGGGAAGAAACACCGGCUCUAACACAGUCCGGGAAUGACGGUACCUGAAGAAUAAGCACCGGCUAACUACGUGCCAGCCGCCGCGGUAA